rnacentral:rRNA from 1 species
GUUAUAACCGGCGAUGUCCGAAUGGGGAAACCCAGUGUGACUCGUCACACUAUCAUUACGUGAAUACAUAGCGUAAUGAGGCGAACCGGGGGAACUGAAACAUCUAAGUACCCCGAGGAAAAGAAAUCAACCGAGAUUCCCCCAGUAGCGGCGAGCGAACGGGGAGGAGCCCAGAGCCUGAAUCAGCAUAUGUGUUAGUGGAAGCGUCUGGAAAGGCGCGCGAUACAGGGUGAGAGCCCCGUACACAAAAGCGCAUGUGCUGUGAGCUCGAUGAGUAGGGCGGGACACGUGGUAUCCUGUCUGAAUAUGGGGGGACCAUCCUCCAAGGCUAAAUACUCCUGACUGACCGAUAGUGAACCAGUACCGUGAGGGAAAGGCGAAAAGAACCCCGGCGAGGGGAGUGAAAAAGAACCUGAAACCGUGUACGUACAAGCAGUGGGAGCCCCACCAC